CUACGGGUCGCAGCAGUGGGGAAUAUUGGACAAUGGGGGAAACCCUGAUCCAGCAAUGCCGCGUGUGUGAAGAAGGCCUUAGGGUUGUAAAGCACUUUCAGUAGUGAGGAAAAGUUUAAGGCUAAUACCCUUGAACCCUGACGUUAACUACAGAAGAAGCACCGGCUAACUUCGUGCCAGCAGCCGCGGUAAUACGAAGGGUGCAAGCGUUAAUCGGAUUUACUGGGCGUAAAGCGCGCGUAGGCGGUUUGAUAAGUCGGAUGUGAAAGCCCCGGGCUCAACCUGGGAAUUGCAUUCGAUACUGUCAGGCUAGAGUAUGGUAGAGGGAAGUGGAAUUCCACAUGUAGCGGUGAAAUGCGUAGAUAUGUGGAGGAACACCAGUGGCGAAGGCGACUUCCUGGCCCAAUACUGACGCUGAGGUGCGAAAGCGUGGGGAGCAAACAGGAUUAGAUACCCUAGUAGUC
rnacentral:rRNA from 1 species